AAACAAGACAAUUUUUGAAUGAGAAGAAGAGCACCUUCAACACCAAGAGAAACGUCAGCUUGCCCAGGUAGCUGAGUGGGAGAAGGCAGUCAGCAUAUGCAUUGCUAUGCACAGCAUACUGAACAGUGAUGGUCAUCACCAGUUUGAGCAGAAAGUAACAGGCUUCGUAGAAGACUUUGGCAAUGAAAAUCAGAAGCAAUCUGCAUGAGCAGCCCAGAAAGCCAAUGGUAUCCUGGACUGCAUCAAAUGAAGUGUUACCAGCAGGCCGAGGGAGGUGACUCUGCUCCCUGCUCCAUUCUGGUGAGACCUCACCUGGAGUACUGUGUACAGCUCUGCAGCUCUGAGCACAGGAAAGAGAUGGACCUUUCUGAAGCAGGUCCAAAGGAGGAACACAAAAAUCAUCAGGAUGGAACACCUCUCCUAGGAAGAGUUGGGGUUGUUCAGUCCAGAGAAGACGAGGCUCUUAUUUCAGGGAGACCUUAUUGCAGCCUUUCAGUACUUACAGGGGGCUUGUAAGAAAGAUGAGGACAGACUUUGUAGCAGGUCCUGCUGUGAUAGGACAAAAGGCAAUGGUUUUAAACUGAAAGAGGGUAGAUUCAGACUGGAUAUAAGGAAGACAUUUUUUACAAUGAGGGUUGUGAGACACCGGAACAGGUUGUCCGGAGAGAUGGUAGAUGCCCCAUUCUUGGAAACACUGAAGGUCAGAUUGGAUGGGGCUUUGUACAACCUCAUCUAGUUGAAAAUGUCCCUGCUUAUUGCAAGAGGUUUGAACUAGAUGACCUUUAAAGGUCCCUUCCAACAAAAACCAUUCCAUAAUUCUGUGGUAGUCAAGACAAAUACCACAGCUUAUACCUAACAUCUGAAAUGUCAGGCCAAAUGAAAUGAUGGAUUAGCAAGGCCAUGGACACAAAGUAGAGAAAAAUUUAUAUAUAAUGAUGCCAGAGACAAUCAAGGUUGCAAAAAAACCAAAGUUGUAAUGGAAAUAGCAAGAAAGCUUAUCAUAGUUUCCCCAAAUUGGGGAAAAAAGACUCAUCCUGCUGUUUAAAUGUAUUAGUGUGUCAUGAGCUCUUUGUAGAUGAAUGCAAUGCUACCUAGACUCUGAUCUUCGCACAAUGUGAGCUUUCAUUUGUUAUCUGUAUUGUAACCUGCAUUUUCGGAAUAACCCAUCAAACAAGAAUGCACUAUGCAUUACUAUAACUAUCAGUAAUAAUAUUCCUUCUGCACUGCACAUAUGAUAAGGUUAAUCCAGUACUUUCUGUAUGAACUGCUGUAAUACUCAAAGCAAAAGUACGCUACCUUCUCAAGCGUAAGUGUGCUGACAGAAAAUCUAGCAUUUAUCAGAAUAUGUCACCUGGUGGGUGGUGUAAAUACAGAAGGAAUUAUGAUAAAGGCACUUGUCACACUGUCAGUCAUGUCUGAUACAACACACUGUAUUUUGAAAUGCAAGGAGUAUACAGCAACAAGUCAUCCUAUGUAAUGUGUAAUAGAAAGGCUAUAGUACCAAAAAAAAAAUAUAUUAUUACCAUAAAAAAAACCCCAAAACUGUCUGUAAUUUAUCUUCGAAUCCUAUUUUAACAAUUUACAAUGUAUGAUGCAAUAAUGACUAAGGAGGAGGAAGUAGUGAUUAAAACAAAAAUCAAAAGGCAUACAGGUAAUGUUCAGAUGCAGAUGGAGAGAAUGUGAGGGAGCCAAGAGCCAGCCCCCACAAUUUGCAAAUCCCGGAAGAAGCACAGUCUGAAUAGCACACAUGAACAGGCUGGCUCCUAACACCUGAAGUCUUUCCAUGAACAAUGCUGUUGGUCAGCCUGGCAAAAACUCACUCAAGACUCAAAGACACCCACAUUGUUGUAUUACAGAUUAAAGCUUUGUACAGCCUUAUGUGGACUGGCCUGCGGUAUGAACAUGUUCAGUCCUUCUAAAUGGAAGGAAACAGCUCACAUAGGCUAAUGCAUGGUGCAGUCUCACACUUUUUCUUCAAGUAUUGUGGAGAUUAUUCUUAAUGAGCAUCUUAGCACCACCUUACAAAUGAAAGGCAUUUGUUGAGCAUGCCUGGGCAAAAAGGGCAAUGAAGUCUGUGCUUAAUUCAUAGUACAGAUGUACCUUAGCUCAAAGUGCAUGAUGCUACAUGCUUUUCAGUGCCCGAAGCCAGUUAUUUUUCAGUUACAUCUGAAGCACUGAUGAAAACAAGUGUAUUUAGUCUUGCUCUUUCCCUAAUUCUAACCUUGCAUGGAGGAGGACGCAUCUUCUUUGUGGUGGUGCAAUGAUAAACAGUACACAACACUGCUUGGAAGCCCUUAAGAAAUCUGACAGACACUGGUUCCCUUUCUUGCUGACUCAAACUCCUUCACUGGCCUACCUUAUACCCUUAUUAGACUCUUCAGCAGCCUAGCCUCAUCCAUAAAGAUCUGCUGAAACACCUCAAAAACAUGUAAAAUAUUUCUAUUGUGAUUCUGCACAUCUCUUUCAUACAUCCUAAAAAUAAACAAACAAAUAAAUUAAUAGCCUGGAAAGUCAAGUUCUCUUCUGUCAUUCUGGCAUUUACAAGCAUAGCAAGGGACAAAACACAUAUAUUUUUUAAGAUGACAUCCUUAAAGCUAUUGCCAUCUCAGCUUCUAUUGCAUCAUUAGUUUAGCGGCUUUUUUCACAGUUGUUAGAAUUGGCAAUAGGAGCCUCAGUUCAAAUGAGCACAUGCUUUAAGUCUUACUGAGUGCUGGGGGGAUUUAAGUGCAUACUUACAGCUAAACGCAUGCUUAUGUCUUUUCACAAUGCCAAAUCCAUCACUUCUGUAAGCAGGUAUGUCUUCAUUAGAAAAAAAUAGAUUUGCUUUCAACAGAGAGGAUUUGAAGCUGCUCUUCUGAGUUUUUAUACCAACAUUGAUUUCUGGCUCAAGGUGUUUUAUCAAGAGUGACUGGUAAAAGCGUCAUAUGUCACAACUGAGUGGGAGGGGACAGAAAGAGUAAGCAAGUAAUCAGGAAGAUGUGAUUUUACAGAUUUACAGGCUGCUGUGACAGGGAAGUGAGACCAAAUUGAAAACUCUUUGUCAGCAUCUCCACCUCUUACGAACUGGAGCAGAUUGAAUGUAAGUUUGUCAGCCAAGCUCAGCUGAUGCAGGAAGGCACAGAAGGAGAUGCAUCUUUCAGAUGAGAGACCAUGGAUCAUUUUUAUCUUUGUAAGUCAAGGCAGAGAACCCUAACUUCAUCACGAGUUUGUAACGAAGUUCAAUUCUGAACUCCUGAUUAAAACCAGUGUGGGAUCUGCUGAACAACAUCCAGCUUGGUCUUGAUUGCUUUUGCAUACUCUGAUCUUCAAUGCAAUCACAAAACGCACGCAGCACCACUGGUCUAUGCUAUAAUUCACUUACCUGUCAUUUAACUGCACUAUUCUACCAAGACUAUGUCUAAUACUGUCUGAUAAGUGGCAGCCAUGUGCGAGUAACCCUAAUUCACCAUACUGAAGUCAUCGCUGAUAUGAACAGAUCUGUGUCUCCUGCUUCAAAGAGGUACUCCCCAUGCUCAGUAUCUGUAGUCUUUGGUAAACUAUUCAUACCUUAUUUCCUCUCAAUAGUGUUGAAAUGUCUUUUCUGACAUAUAUAUGCCAGUGUUAUCUGCAUUCCAAUACCAGCUUCAAAGAAUAUUGGCUACAGCACGUUAAUACAAGCACAAUAAGGGUAAGGCUUUCCCAAGCUGGAAAUACUUAAAUUUUAUUAUUUUCAGUGAUAGCACACCCAAGGUAGGGUAUUACUGGCAGU